AUGUUCACUUUGGCAGCAUAUAUACUAAAAUUGGAUCGAUACAGAGAAGAUCAGCAUGGACCCUGCACAAAGAUGACAUGCAAAUUCGUGAAGCAUUCCAUAUUUUU
ensembl:snRNA U6 U6 spliceosomal RNA